rnacentral:tRNA from 1 species
AGUUAUUUAUCUUAUAGAAAGAAUUUAUUUUGAAAAUAAAAGAAAGAUUAACAUUUAAUAACUU